rnacentral:rRNA from 1 species
UACAUAGGGUGCAAGCGUUGUCCGGAAUUAUUGGGCGUAAAGAGCUCGUAGGUGGUUUAUCACGUCGGAUGUGAAAUUCUGAGGCUCAACCUCGGACCUGCAUUCGAUACGGGCAAACUAGAGUGUGGUAGGGGAGACUGGAAUUCCUGGUGUAGCGGUGGAAUGCGCAGAUAUCAGGAGGAACACCAAUGGCGAAGGCAGGUCUCUGGGCCAUUACUGACACUGAGGAGCGAAAGCGCGGGGAGCGAACAGGAUUAGAUCCCCUGGUAGUCCGCGCCGUAAACGGUGGGCACUAGUUGUGGGAACCUUCCACGGUUUCCGCGACGCAGCUAACGCAUUAAGUGCCCCGCCUGGGGAGUACGAUCGCAAGAUUA